CACAAACAGGAUGGAAUCCAUCUUGGAGAAGUUGCUAGUUUUGGCCCGGUGGAAACAACCACGCUAAUUUGGAUGAUUGGAAUUAACAGAGAUGUACGGGUUGAGACGGUAAACAGUUGCUCCCUCCCUGGAGUCACCCGUGGAACCAUAUGGCUAAACUCUCCAAGGACUUGCUCUUAGAUAAUGCCAUCUUAUCAGGCUGUAACAAGAUGCUCAUGCAUGGCUACUGACAAAACACCCCCUGAUCUCACCGCCUGUCAUUGGAUUAAAAUCCAAUGAUUAGUUACAAUCUAAUUAUAAUCCACUAAUUGCAAAAACCAUGAAAAAGUGUGAUUACUACCGUAAUUAUAAUCCAAUUAGUUACCGACUGUAUUAAUAUUCCAUUUAUUCUCAUGUCUUUGUAAUGUCUGAAAUUUGCUACAUUUGCAUAAUUUAUCCUGAUAUGUAAUUUCUGCCAGUCUGUCUCUCUAGCCUUGUUUUAUUUUAUUACUUUCAGAAAUUGUGGAGUAUUCACUAUUUGACCAAUAUUAUACUUUUUAGAUUAUAAUGCAGAUAAACUCUUAUUAGUUUUUCCUACUUCUAGCUUCUAAAUGAUAAAUUAUGGAGUACUUAUAAUUAUCUUGCAACCCAUAAAAGGAAUUAGAACAAACUUAGAAUCCAGAGGAACUCACCCUACUACCUUGGAUCAACAUGAUCAGAACAGGAACCCAGAGAAACCCCUAAUAAGUAAUGCAUAAAUCAUGCAUUACUUAUUCUUAAACAUGAGGAACUAAUACUUUAGACUUUUUCUUCUUUUGCUCUUUCCUUUGGUUUUGUUAUUUAAUUUCCUUCUAAUUCAUGUAAAGUACUUUGAAUUGCCUUGUUGCUGAAAAUGUGCUUUAGAAAUAAAAUGACCUCAAUAUGAACUGGAUCUGGAUCCAUAUGAAUCUGGAUCCAUAUGAAUCUGGAUCGUUCUGUUUAUUAGUUAC